UACGUAGGGCGCAAGCGUUAUCCGGAAUUAUUGGGCGUAAAGAGCUCGUAGGCGGUUUGUCGCGUCUGCUGUGAAAACCCGAGGCUCAACCUCGGGCCGCAGUGGGUACGGGCAGACUAGAGUGCGGGUAGGGGAGAUUGGAAUUCCUGGUGUAGCGGUGGAAUGCGCAGAUAUCAGGAGGAACACCAAUGCGAAGGCAGAAUCUCUGGGCCGUAACUGACGCUGAGGAGCGAAAGCAUGGGGAGCGAACAGG
rnacentral:rRNA from 1 species